AGGAGAGGACACCAUGUGGUUCCUGAUUGGCUGAGUGUGGCCCGGCUCUGUGUGUCGGAGUUGUGCAGGGUAUGGAUUGGGACCCACCAGUGAAAGCACAUGGCCCUGGAGGUCCGCAGGCUUGGAGAGGGCACCAGAUCUGGCACCCACCAUGCCCAGAUGGUGAGCCUGGAGGAAGACUCGUGUUGGGCCCACAGGCCCCAGGCCAGUGUACGUCAGCCAGGUGCUCAGCCCAUGGUGUGCUGAAGCUCUGACCCUUCCUGACUCCGUGGUCUCCUGCACUGAGCUGUGAUGACCAUAUCCAGUGAGCUCUUCCAAACAGGUGGGCUCCCUAGCAUUGACCGACAGAGUGAGCUCUGCCACCCAGGACAUCCCCCUGGCAUUGACUGGCAUAGAUGCUGACCCUGGAGGAAGACUUGUGUCGGGCCCCCAGGCCCCAGGCCAGUGUCCAUCAGCCAGGUGCUCAGCUCCCAGUGCGCUGAAGCUCAGACCCUUCCUGGCACCCUGGUGUCCAGCACUGAGCUGUGUGAGCUUUUCCACCCAGGUGGGCCCCCUGGCAUUGACCGACAUAGUGGCAGGGAGAGCCAAGGGUGCCCCACAUUGGUGACGAGUCAGUAUUUUGCAUGGAUCUCAUCACACGUGACCAUGAAGGACGAGCAAGCAUGAGCUGGCACCAGCCACCCCCUUCUCCGCGUGGAGGGUGGUCACAUGUCCUCCACCUGUGCCCCCAGAUGAUGAGACUGGAGGAAGACUUCCAUUGGGCCCACUUUUCCUGGGCCAGUGUCCAUCAGCCAGGUGCUCAGCCCCUGGUGUACUGAAGCUCCAGCCUUUCCUGGUGCCCCAGUCUUCUGCACUAAGCUGUGUGAGCUCUUCCACCCAGGAGGGCCCCUUGGCAUUGACUGGCAUAGAUGGUGAGACGGGAGGAAGACUUGUGUUGGGCCUGCUGUUCCUGGGCCAGUGGCCAUCAGCCUGUUGCCCAGCCCCUGAGGCGCUGAAGCUCAGGCCCUUCCUCACACCCUGGUCUCCUGCACUAGCUGUGUGAGCUCUUCUGCCCAGGUGGGGCCCAUGGCCUUACACGACAUAGGAGCACGCAUUUCUUGAAGUCCUGCAAAGGUGAUGGUGGUCCAGACAGGAGAGGGUUCCUUCAGCCCAACAUAGCGCAGCUCCCAGCUGAAACUCGGAAGGCUGGUCAGGCCUCGAGGACUGCCCAGGCCACAUGAGGGUUUGGUGGCCGGGAGGGCCAAUGAUGCUCUGCGUCUGUGUUGGAUCAGUGUUCUUCAUGGAUUCCAUCACAUGGUGAGCCUUGAGGAAGACUUGUAUUGGGCCCCCACAGGCCCCAGGCCAGUGUCCGUCAGCCUGGUGCUCACCCCCAGUGUGCUGAAGCUCAGACCCUCCGUGGCACCCUGGUCUCCUGCACUGAGCUGUGUGAACUUUUCCUCCCAGAUGGGCCCCCUGGCAUUGACUGGCAUAGAUGGUGAGACCGGAGGAAGACUUGCAUUGGGCCUGUUGUUCCUGGGCCAGUGGCCAUCAGCCUGUUGCCCAGCCCCUGAUGCGCUGAAGCUCGGGCCCUUCCUCGCGCCCUGGUCUCCUGCACUGAGCUGUGUGAGCUCUUCUGCCCAGGUGAGGCCCAUGGCCUUAAGCGGCAUAGAUGGUGAGCCUGGAGGAAGACUUGUAUUGGGACCCUACAGGCCCCAGGCCAGUGUCUGUCAGCCUGGUGCUCAUCCCCCAGUGCGCUGAAGCUCAGACCCUCCCUGGCACCCUGGUCUCCUGCACUGAGCUGUGAUGGUGAGUCUGGAGGAAGACUUGUGUUGGACCCCCACAGGCCCCAGGCCAGUGUCCAUCAGCCUGGUGCUAAUCCCCCAGUGCUCUGGAGUUUGGACCCUCCCUGGCACCCUGGUCUCCUGCACUGAGCUGUGUGAGCUCUUCCACCCGGGCGGGCCCCCGGCAUUGACUGGCAUAGGUGGUGAGCCCGGAGGAGGACUUGCGUUCGGCCCGCUGGUCCCAGUGUGUCCGGAAUUGGUGGGUUCUUGGUCUCACUGACUUCAAGAAUGAAGCUGCGGACCCUCGCUGUGGUGGAGUCUAUGGCCCUUCUCCUUGAAUCUGAGUGAAAUUAGUGAGUCUUUCAAUCCAAAGACUACAGUCAUACCUCAACUAUCUACAGAGGACUGGUUCCAGGACUCCCAUGGAUCCCAAAAUCCAAGGAUGCUUCGAAUCCCUUAUAUAAAAUGGCAUGGUAUUUGCAUAUAACCUACAUGCAUCUUCAAAUAUGUUAAACCAUCUCUAGAUUACUUAUAAUACCAAAUACAAUGUAAUGCUAUGUAAACAGUUGUUACAAUGUAUUGUCAAAGACAAGCUCUCCUUGCCAAUCCCUGACCAAAUGAGAGAUUCAUGAGCAAAAUAAAUAGUUGCUGAUAUUUAAGGCACUAAGUUUGGGGCAAUGUAUUACACAGCAAUAAAUAACUGGAACAGCAUAGUAAAUUCUAGUUAAAAAUACUAAACUACUAAGUUUUAGUUAACAUACAUGCUCAAGUUAAGGGUGUG
ensembl:lncRNA SNHG14 small nucleolar RNA host gene 14